CUAGCUUUUGGUUUAUUUACCAGGGUGUGUAUCUCUAAACAUUUUCUCUUUUAAAUUGGCCCUCAAGGGCCAUAAGCCCUAUUAGGCCCGAGUGGAGAAAAAAGAGAAGGAUUAAAGGACAUUCAGCAGGAGUGUCCUGAAAAAGAUGUCUGCCUGAAGGUGUAUGGUCAGUCAGGUUAUGCUUCAUAUCACCCACCGGGGAGGAUCAUCUCUCAUGAAAACUUUCAAAUUUGAUUUUGAAAAUUAUUCAGAAAAAUUUAAGCCACACUGUCUCCCAAUAUAGGAAAGAAUAUACUCUGGAGGUUCCUAUAAUUCAAAGAAAAUGGACUAGGAUAACAUUUGGGUUCUCGUGCUACCAAAAUCCUCUUGAGAAGGAUAGCCAGUGUCGGAACAGGACUCGUCACCUUGGACGUCGGAGGGCCCCUUCAUUGUCUCUGUUUGUGGUUACAGCGUUUGCCUAUUCCUUGUGCUAUUUCUAUUUUUGUCAUUGGAGUCCAUGAAGACUUAAUCAUCAGCCCUCUCUAAUUUUCCGGAAAGAAAAAAGAAAAAGGAAAUAUGUUGAUUUAUUGAACUGGCUGCAGAAAGAAGAAGAGGAAGAAGAAGGAGAAGGAGAAGAAGAUCAAUCUGCCAUUGAGGCUAAUAACGUGCGGCCGGGAAGGAGGCCGCGCUCCCAGGGUUAUCUCGCCGCCUCAGAUGCCGGGAAGCCCAAGGAGCCCAGCCGCUUCUGGACGACGUUCAGCAAGGCCGCAGUGAUCCCUGCGCGGAGAAGAGCCUGCCUGCUCUUUUCCAAGCCCCAGAUCCCAGAAGCAGAAGAAGUUGUGUGGAUACACAUGGCUGAGUCUAUUAACUAAGACCUCUAUUGGAGAGCGUACAAUGUCGUGGUAAGAGCACAGAGUCUGGAGCCAGGCUGCCAGAUUUAGUCCUAGCAAUACCACUCACUAGCCAUGUGCCCUGGGUCAGUGUUGUUUCACCUCUGUGUUUCUUCCAUUCCUAACCUGGAAAAUAGAGAUGUGUUAUUUCUACAGUUAUGUGGCUGGUGAUGAGGAUAGAGCAGUGAUGAAACAGAUAACAUCCCUGUUCUGAUAGACCUUACAUUCUGGCAAAGAAGACAGAAAGCAAACAGGUAUAUGAUUUGUUGAGUGGUGAUAAGAGCAAAGAAGAAAGGCAAUACAAGGUAAAAGGAUAGAGAGUGAUGGAAGGGUUCAAUUUUUAUGGAAAAAAAUGUAAGGAAAGGAAGAGAAAGCCUUUGUGAAAAGUGAUGUUUCAGCAAAGAGUUUGUACAUAUUUGGGCAAAGUGUAUCCACACUGAGGAAAAGCAAGUGUAAGGCCUUGGUGAGGAAAGCUUCUUUGAGUGUUCAUGAAAGUGAGGGGGCUAAAAAGGCUGCCAGCAGAUGAACAUAGAAGACAGAUCAUGUAUAGCCUUGUAGGCCAUGGUAAGAGAUUGGAUGGUAUUCUGAGCAAAAUGGAAAGUCAUUGGAGAAGAGAGAGAAAUGACUGCAAAGUAUUUGCCAGCACAAUUAGAAUUCUGUAGAAAGCUGUCAUUUACUGAGGUGAGGCAAGAUUGAGGAAGAAACAGAAUGGGGACAUCAAAAGUUUAUGACCAGACAUAUUAAAUUUGAGAUGCCUAUUAAAUUUUUAAUUGCAAAAGUCUAGUAGGAAGUUUAAUGUAUAUAUUUGGAGUUCAAAUGCUGCUGUGAGUCCGUGGGGGGUGAGAACUGAAAAUUGACCAUUGAAUUUAAUAGCACAGAGGUCAUUAGUGACUUGGACAGGAAUAUUUCAAUAUUUUCAUAUUUCACCAUGUCAGUGGGAGAAUGAAUGCCUGACAGCAGAUAGGGAGACAGGAUGAGAAGA
ensembl:lncRNA